GCAGUCGGUUGCUAGGAGACGGCGUCUAGCAGCUUGCCCUUGCUGCAAGGCUCAGGCUCCUGCUACUGCCUAGGCCUCUACCAGCUGCUGUGCUUCAAGCAGAAGGACGGGAUUUCUACAGACUAGGGCUCAACCGGCUGCCUACUUGGGAUCGGGGCGAGGUGGUGGGACCUCCCGCAGCCAUAAGAGCCUGGGGGCAACCAGGCAGAAACUGCUGGUGUGAUAACAGUUGGUGUCUGCCCAGGACACCCUCUCUCCUCUCUUCCUUCCCUUGCACAAGAAUUAGUACAGUUCCUACCUCAUCAUCUUCGUGAGGAAGACCUGGGUUCAGUCCCCAGCACCCACCCGGUGUACAUGUACAUGUGAUCCGACCACACUCUUUUGUCCUCCGCAGGCGCCAGACACACGGCCUCACGCACAUACAGGCGGGUGGAUGCAUGUCCUACUAUGAGUGUGGAGGUGAGAGUGUGGAUGGUUCUCUCCUUCCAUCCAGGGUCCUGAAGCCUGGGAAAGGAAAGGAAGACAGGACCCCAAGUCAAGGAAAAGGCUUUCCAGCUGACAACUGAACAGCCUCCAUCAUGAGGAAAGCAGAGGCCGGACAACUGUGGAGCCCAGCAGUUCAAAGCCAGCCUGGGCAACCGAGCGAGACCUUGUCCAAAAGAGAGGGGGUCAGGGCCCAGUGUUAUAGCAUCUAUUUACCACAGCACAGACAAGGGACAAUAUCAUCAUAGCCUAAGUAAGGUUCCAAGCGAUCAGAGCUGUGCCUUGUGUAAGCGGCCCAUGCAUACAAGCUCUUUUCUUUCUUUCUUUUUUUUUUAAGAUACAUUUAUUUUAAUGAGUACACUGUAGCCAUCUUCAGACACACCAGAAGAGGGCAUCAGAUCCCAUUACAGGUGGUUAUGAGCCACCAUGAGGCUUCUGGGAUUUGAACUCAGUACCUCUGGAAGUUGCAGUCAGCACUCUUAACCAUUGAGCCAUCUCUCCAGCCUGCUCACGAACUUUUGUACUGUCAAUAUACCAGGAGCCAGCCACUUGACGUCCACUUGCUCAGCAUAGCAAAAGCUGGAGAGCAUUUGGUCUGGACAGUUAGCAGACAGUCUCCCUUGUGAGCGCUCUCAGGAGGAGGAAACUGCCCUGCCCGGGCUCUUGGGUGUGAGUCCUCUCAGGGCACAACUGCAACUUGUUCUGGUCUCCAGAAUAGAAGGCACAUGGGAACCUAUGAAACCGUCUGAGUGGACACAUGAUGACAUCCAGACCACAGAUCCCCAGAUAGGGUUUUCUUUCUAGAACAAGAUGUAGAGCUCUCAGCACCGUGUUUCAUGUUUCUCGCUAUGACAACGAUGGACUGAACCUCUGAACUGUAAGCCAGCCCCAAUGAAAUGCUUCCCUUAUUAAGAUCUGCUGUGGUCAUGGUGCUUUUACAGCAAUAGAAAAACAACUCAGACACCACCACCCCAAAACAAAACUCCCAACGCACUUGCAGGGGCCUGCCCCACACUUGGAAGGAGGAAGGCUGCAGGGACGCAUCUAAGCGGACAGGCCCUGCAUGGCCUGCAUAGUCUGUUGUCACAAGAUCAGAUCCUCACACUUCUAUAUGACUGUGUGCUUUCAAGGUACCUACGUAUAAAGCAGACAGCUCCCUGGGGUCUUCGGGUCUUUGUUCUUGAAAGCUCCCAUGUCAUAUAGACCUUGGAUUUUCUGUAUAUGUCAUGCCUUUUCUAUGUAAUGAAGGCAUGGUCACUCUGUAAAGAGAACACAACCCAGGCCAAGAUGGAAGGACUGGAGCCAGGCCAGGACUGCAGACAGACACUGCUGCUCCCGUGGGUACUCACUGUCUUCAUCCCAGCAAGCUGAGGCCAGAGGUGGGGGAGGACACAGGAAGAACCAGCUGGCUGGGUAGGCUGGGCUGGCACGCAGUGAGUACACAGAGGAAUAAAGGAGAGAGAAGCUAACUGUUCUCUCAGGAGCCAGGGUUCCUGCUGUGACCUGUUCCCGGUUGUGGGAGGAUAAAAGGCCCCCAUACUCUGUAAGGUUUCAGAGUCGGCGGACGUUUAGGGAAUGUACUUUUGGAAUUAGUUUAUAUUUGUCUUCCUCCCUCCCUCCCUCCCUCCCUCCCUCCCUUCCUUCCUUCCUUCCUUUCUUCCUUCCUGAGACAGAGUUCUAGGCUGACUAAAACUCAAUAUGAUGACUUUAAGACUUGUUUGUAGGGGUUGGGGAUUUAGCUCAGUGGUAGAGCGCUUGCCUAGCAAGCGCAAGGCCCUGGGUUCGGUCCCCAGCUCCGGAAAAAACAAACAAACAAACAAAAAACAAAAAAAGAGACUUGUUUGUAUUACAUGUAUUUAUUUGUUUAUUUAUUUAUGUGUGUGUAAACACUAAAGCACAGAUGUGUCGGGGGGAGACAACUUGCAGAAGUCAUUUCUCUCCUACCAUGCAGGUUCCAGGGAUUAAAAACUCCGGUCUCAGUUUGUCACGAGCACCUUUUCUUUCUUUCUUUCUUCUUCUUCUUCUUCUUCUUCUUCUUCUUCUUCUUCUUCUUCUUCUUCUUCUUCUUCUUCUUCUUCUUCUUCUUCUUCUUCUUCUUCUUCUUUUUUUUUAAGAUUUAUUUAUUAUAUGUGAGUACACUGUCUCUGUCUUCAGACCUACCAGAAGAGGGCAUCGGAUCCCAUUACAGAUGAUUGUGAGCCACCAUGUGGUUGCUGGGAAUUGAACUCAGGACCUCUGGAAGAGCAGCCAGUGCUCUUAACCGCUGAGCCAUCUCUCUAGCCCACGAGCACCUUUUUGCAGCGAGCUGGCCUUGAACACUGAUCCUCCUGAGUGAUGCUAAGCCUCGGGAGUGUUCGUAGGAUCGCAUUGCUCAUUAUGUAGGAUGCCAUGCCACACAGCUCCUAGCACAGAGUAAUGGCACUGUCUGUCUGUCCCUUAGCUGCCUGAGAGCAUGGUGUCUGUCAGCCUCCCAGCAUCCCUGGCGCACUGCAACGCCCAGUGAAUUGAAGGAAGGGUGAAUAUCUACUGGGUGGUGAAGUAGCAUCCAGAUGCUCUCCUAUUAGUAAGCCAGGGGGCUGGGUCACCUUGUGGUGGGGACCUGUCACACUGAGGACUUUUUCAUAAUUUCUCAAAUUAUUGUUUGACAGCCUCAUAGUUUAUACAACAAUUUUCAUCCAUUUUCAUUUUUUAAAGAUUUAGUUUUAUUUGUUUGUUUGUAUGUAUGUAUGUAUGUAUGUAUGUAUGUAUGUAUGUAUGUAUGUAUGUAUGUAUGCGAUGUACACGCUGUGUGCCCACAGAGGCUAGAAGAGGGCAUUGGAUCCCCUGGAGCGGGAGUUACAGGUCACUGUGAACCAUCUGAUAUGGAUGCUGGGAGCUGAAGUAGGGUCCUCUGGAAGAGCAGGGUGUGCUUUAACUGCUGAGCCAUUUCUUCAGCCCCCAGUUCUAGUUGUGUCACCCUUUAUUCCCUUACCCCACCCCCUUUCCCUCAAUGAAACCCAUCUUCCCAUCUAGUUCCCCUUCUACUUCAAGCCUUCUCUCUGUGUGUGACUGCUGGGUUUAAUUCACGUUUCUCAGCAGAGCAUGGGUGGGAGACGGUUUCCUGGGGCAGAGCCAGUCAUCAGAGGGUACACUUCUGAAGAAAACAAUACCUCCUCCCCCUACAACUGCAAACUGCCAGUGGUCCCUCCUGGAGGGGUGGGGCCUUGCAGAUCCUUCCUCCACCAUGGGGAAAUGUUGAGCCCCUCCCCUAUCAUGUGCAAGUCUUACACAGAUAACCACAGCUGCAGUGUGUUCAGGAGUGCAAUGCCACUGUCAUGUCCAGGCCCAUACUCUGUCUCUUACACUCUGCUUGUGGCUUCCUCCUCAGCCCUACACUGAGCCCAGGAGGGAGUGAUGAAGCUAUCUCAUUAGGGCUAAGCACUCUGCAGUCACUUACUCUAGGCACUUUGGGUCAGUCAGAGGCUUCUGCACUAACUGACUGACCAUAAGGAGCUUCUCUCCCGAGGGCUGGGGACAGCACCAGUGAACGACAAACAAAGGCUGUGUAAAGUGUAUCAGAACAUUCAUCCGCACUGGGAAUCUUAAGGUCAGAAUCCCUACCACUUUCCCCAACCUCCCUGUCCUCUGACCCUCUGCCACUGGGUGUCUGUGUCCUUGAGUGAGUCACUGGUCCUAAAUGGGGCAGUGACAUCAGAUCUAAGACAUUGUGGGCCUCGAAGGAGGCUUGAAAUGGUGAAGGUCUUUAAAAUGACUCCAGUUGACCGGUGCUUCCAGAGGUAGAAGAUACCAGUUUUUUUUUUUUUUUUUUUUUUUUUUUUUUGAGCUGGGGACCGAACCCAGGGCCUUGCGCGUGCUAGGCAAGCGCUCUACCACUGAGCUAAAUCCCCAACCCCAAAGAUACCAGUUUUAAUGUGAGUCCCAGACACGUCCUUCCCUAAGAGGGCAAGCAGAUCUGGACGAAACAGAGCAGAGAAUAUAGACCCAAACUUAUCUGAAGGCACACGCCUGUGAGGAAGUGGGGACCAAGAAGCCUUUCAGAGAAGGGCCUUAAGGAGCAGGGCCCUGGCCCCUCAACAGCUCGGGGAAUGUCUUCUGAUAGAUUCAGUUUGCUGCCCUAUGGCUCUGGGUUUCUUGGCCUUGGAUCUGUCAGGACUGGAGAGAGCCCAUGUCCUUUGUUGUUGUUUUAAGAUUUUAUUUUUGUUUUAUGGGCGUUUGCCUUCCUGUAUGUCUGUGCACUUUGUGUGCGUGUGUGUGUGUGUGUGUGUGUGUGUGUGUGUGUGUGUGUGUGUGUGUGAAGUGCCCAAGAAUGCCAGAAGAGGGGGUCAGAUCCCCUGGAAGAGACCAUUUUUAAGUGCCUUUUAGAGAGUCUGGAACGGGACAGGAUAAACAGCAGACAGUAGGCCUGCGAUGGUCACACACACCUUUAAUCCCAGCACUCAGGAGACGGGGGCAAGCAGAUCUCUGAGUUGGAUGCUAGGGUGGUCUACAGAGCCAGUUCCAGAACAACCAGGACUUCACAGAGAAACCUUGUUUCGGAAAGAAAAAAACUGACAGUGAAGGGCUAGAGAGAUGGACUAAUGGUUAAGAGUACUUCCUUGCUGGUCUUGCAGAGGACCUGGGUUCGGUGCCCAGCA